rnacentral:rRNA from 1 species
CAGUAGCCGCGGUAAUACAGAGGGUGCGAGCGUUAAUCGGAUUUACUGGGCGUAAAGCGUGCGUAGGCGGCUUCUUAAGUCGGAUGUGAAAUCCCUGAGCUUAACUUAGGAAUCGCAUUCGAUACUGGGAAGCUAGAGUAUGGGAGAGGAUGGUAGAAUUCCAGGUGUAGCGGUGAAAUGCGUAGAGAUCUGGAGGAAUACCGAUGGCGAAGGCAGCCAUCUGGCCUAAUACUGACGCUGAGGUACGAAAGCAUGGGGAGCAAACAGGAUUAGAUACCCCAGUAGUCCCUGUCUCUUAUAC